rnacentral:snoRNA from 1 species
CUGCAGCUAAUACUGCCGACUGGCCAUCUCUCCCUGUGGGGGCCUGGGAUGCAGUGGCUACAGACAGCUGCCUUCUUGGUAGUGUACGUGGCCUGUUGCUUAUACAGGUUGCUCUAAGGGACCUUGGAGACAGCC